CGGGCGGUGACGUCACAACGGAGCGCCGCGGCUGGCCGUGCUUCGGUAGGCAACGGGUCGGUGCUACCUGCCGCUGCUCGGCGUGUGCGUUGCACCGCGCGCGCCUCGCUGCUUCUUGUCUCCGUGUGGGUCCUGAUGAGCGGCAGGUGGUGAGGGACGCCGGGUAGGCGCGAUGAGUCUGUUCAACCUGGACCGCUUCCGCUAUGAGAAGAGGAGGACGAGCGCGGAGCAGGAUGGGCGGCCUGCUGCUGCAGCCCAGGAGGAGGGCAGCCCUGCUGCUGGAGCCCGGGCUCAGGAGGAGGGCAGCCCUGCUGCUGAUGGUGGUGGGAACAACACUGCAGGGAGCAGCAGGCCAGGCAGCCCAGCCUCGGUGGCAGCAGCUUGGCCUGGUUUUGCAGAGAGCAGAGAUGCCUGUUGCUUUUUAUCAGAAACUGAUUGUGUUAAUAGUUUUGCAGCAACAUUUGUCCCAUUUUCUGGUAAUAGAUUGUGGUUUUAAUGGAAAUCUGGAAAAAAAGCCUUGCUUAUAUAGGAGUUGUUUAGCUUAUUUGGCUGAUUUGUUGGA
ensembl:lncRNA